UACGGAAGGGGCAAGCGUUGUUCGGAAUCAUUGGGCGUAAAGCGCGUGUAGGCGGUCCGGUAAGUCCGCUGUGAAAGUCGAGGGCUCAACCCUCGAAUGCCGGUGGAUACUGUCGGGCUUGAGUACGGGAGAGGCGAGUGGAAUUCCUGGUGUAGCGGUGAAAUGCGCAGAUAUCAGGAGGAACACCGAUUGCGAAGGCAGGUCUCUGGGCCACUACUGACGCUGAGAAGCGAAAGCAUGGGGAGCGAACAGG
rnacentral:rRNA from 1 species